UUGAAGGCAUUAUGCUAACUGAAGUAAGUCAGACAUAUACUGUAUGAUUUCACUUAUGUGUGGACUCUAAAAAAACAGCAAAAUUUAUUAAAGACAUAUUAUUCUUUUAGGAGUGACCUUUGUAAUAAAAUUCUUACAAUGAGAAAUAAAAAACAGAAAAAGUCAUAGAAAAAGAGAUCAGACUUCUGGUUACUAGAGGCAGGGGCUGAGGGUAGGAGGAACUGGAGGAAGGUAGUCAAAAGAUAAAAGCGUCCACUAAUAAGAUAAAUAAGUGCUAGGGAUGUCAUGUACGAUAUGAUGACUCUAACUAGUGCUUCUGUGUGAUGUAUAGCAAAGUUUAAGGGAAUAAAUCCCAAGAGUUCUUAUCACAAGAAUUUUUCCCCUUUAUUCUUUCUUUUGUCUCUAUAUGAGAAGAUGCAUGUUAGAUGAACCUAGUAUGGUAAUCAUUUCACAAUAUAUGUAAAUAAAACCAGAAAAAGGAAAUUAAUCCACAUGUAGGACAAAGUUAAACUAUUUUGUAAGCCUCUGGAAACCAUUUAACAGAAAAGGCAUAAUCUUGCAUAAUAGCAGAUUGACUGAAUACUCUAGAAAUUUGCUGAUUUAGCAUUUAAUUCUCACAGAGCAAUUACUGGGAAAACAAGUUCUGUCAAGAUAAUAUAAUUAACAUUGCUGCAGUAUUUAGAUUUUUAAAAUCACUGCUGAGAAGGUAGAUAUGGCAGAGAUAAUAGAUGAAAUGUGUGUGUGUGUGCGUGCUGUGUAUGCAUGCAGCAUGCACAUAUACGUACAACAUAUACAUGCAUACACACACAGGCACACACAGUGGUAAUAAAAAGCCUUAUUCUUUAAAUAUGUAUUAAAAAGAAGGCAAUAGCUGUCUCAGGAGAGGAAGAAUCAACAACCAGUGGGUACCCCACAAUCAAAUUCACGAGAGUUGGAAUUUACAAAGGACAACAUGAAAUUCUACUUCUCUCUCGACCAGGCCUCACAGAUAAAGGUCUGGGAGAGCUGAUUCAGUAAGAAUUUUCCCCAUUUGCCAGCUUCUGCCAGUUUCCCCAGGGUCCCUUCUGCAGGUUCUGGACUGAGGGGGUGUCCCAGAAGGUCUCAUCCAGUCCCCUGAAACUGUAGAGGAAGAAAAAUAAUUUUUCCUUUAUCUUUUAUGGAGAGUGCCCGAUGAGACCCCUUUUAUACUGGGCACUUUGUAAGUGGAUAAGCUCAUCUAGGUCAAACAUUCUCCACUGUGGCCACUCUAACUUGAUUCUCUUUGAUAAGGUAAACCUGCUUGUUCAGCCCUCACACCAAAUAUAUUCACCUGAGGCCUCACACUGGCCCCACUCCGGCGUUAGUCAGACCCAGUCCCAGUCUGAGCCUGGACACAGUAGGUUUCCAAGUCAGACCCUGAACGCAGCAGGUGCCUAAGUCUGACCCAGUCUGGCUCCUGGGGUUUCAGGCCGCGCUCCAGGACAAGCAGUGCUCAGUCUGAAAGCUCCUAUGCAGAGCUGGGAGCAGGAUCCAGGAACCCCGGGGGCCUUGCCUGGCACCUCCAGAGGCAGCGAGAAAGCAGCGAGCCAGGGGCUCUGCAGUGCAAAUCAACGUUGUUUCUUCGUGAGUCAGAUUUGUCAUCGCUUCCCAUUUUCAAGUGCUUCAGAGUACCACGUGCUUUGGGGAAGUGAAAAAGAAGCCGGACUAUUCUUCAGAGCUGGCCCCUCAACACUGCCAACCACCCGUGAGGUGCUGAGGCUUCGGCCUGAAAGAACAGCCAUGAUUACUGAUUAGAAGCAGGACAUUGUACGUCAGGAAUUACCCAGAAGCAUCUCACAAGAUACAGAAUGUGCAUGAAAUUGAGCUGGGCAGAAGUUCGUAUUACAGGCGCGUGUCACCGGAGGUUUCUGUCGGAGCAGGCAGCUUGAGGAAGGCCGGCCCUGCUGCACACAGUGGACGGAUCGGGUCUGGACCCCUCCCCCACAGGUCACCGUGCACUGCAGAAGAGGGAAGCAUCAGAAACACUCAGCGGGAUGGGAUCCAUUUAAUGUCAGUGACAUCAAAGAAAGGGUCUCCAGGCUUCAUGACAUGACCAAGGUGCCUGCUGAUAAAUCGUCCAGAGCCAGAUGUGAAAACAGAGGCUUCCAGAUUACGUAACCUUCCCAGGCCACACAGGUGGUGAAGCCCUUUGUUCCUGACAUGCGGACAGGUUUCUACCAGCAGCCCUUGGUGGACUGCCUCCUCUUUUUGAAUCUCACUUAAAUACAAUCCUCGUACAUCUGGGGGCACUCACCUGUUGCCAUGGCGAUGAAUACCAUCCAGCUGCCACAUUGUACACAGGACGCACUGGACAGGCCCCUCGGUCACAGGCUUCCUCCAAAUUCAGGUUUGGUUUCUUAAU